AUCGAAUCCUGAAGACAGUUUGCGGCCACUUCGUCACAGAGACGGCCAUUUCGUGUGGAGACGAGGAAGGAGUUGGAGGUCAGCUAUCACUCCAGACCAAGAAAUUCGAGGUGCAGGAACCAGCCGUUAUCUUCCUGGCAGUAGGUGGGAAGCAUAAAUAAAUGAAACCACGGGAAAGGCGCCUUUUUAACCAGCAAUCCAAGUACAGGCUUGUGAUGGGGCAAAAAAAAAAAAAAAAAAAGCAUCACCAGCAAGUCUUCAUAAGCGAGGUGCGGAUUCACUUGGCUACCUACUACAGCAUCCCCCGCUUUCUAGCUCACCACAGAAAAGGCGACGGAAGUGGCUCCAUUGGCCCAAGAAACUGUGGUCCUUAUCAACGACUCCCAAGUUACGG